rnacentral:misc_RNA from 1 species
UCCGCCUUGGAGGCGGCAGUCUCCCAUGAAAGAACAACAUAGGAUGAGGGUUGCGCUCGUUCGCUGACUUAACAGUACACCUCAAGGCACGAGCUGACGACGACCGUGCAGCGCCUGUGUUCAGGUUCCUUGCGGCACAGUUCUAUUUCUAAAACUUUCCUGACAUGUCAAGUCUGGGUGAGGUGCUUCGCUUAUCAUCGAAUUAAACCCCACGCUCCACCGCUUGUGUGGGUCCCCGUCUAUUCCUUUGAGUUUUAGCCUUGCGGCCGUACUUCUCAGGCGGCGUGCUUACCGCGUUAGCUUAGGGCACAGGAACAGAUUGAAGUUCCUACACCGAGCACGCAUCGUUUAGGGCGUGGACUA